AUUGAACGCUGGCGGCGUGCCUAACACAUGCAAGUCGAGCGGUAACAGGUGUAGCAAUACAUGCUGACGAGCGGCGGACGGGUGAGUAACGCUUGGGAAUCUGCCUGUUAGUGGGGGACAACCCGGGGAAACUCGGGCUAAUACCGCAUACGCACUACGGUGGAAAGCCGGGGACCGCAAGGCCUGGCGCUAACAGAUGAGCCCAAGUCGGAUUAGCUAGUUGGUAGGGUAACGGCCACCAAGGCGACGAUCCGUAACUGGUCUGAGAGGACGACCAGUCACACCGGAACUGAGACACGGUCCGGACUCCUACGGGAGGCAGCAGUGGGGAAUAUUGGACAAUGGGCGAAAGCCUGAUCCAGCGACGCCGCGUGGGUGAAGAAGGCCUGCGGGUUGUAAGCCCUUUCGGUGGGGAAGAAAGCCUCGAGUUAAUACCUCGGGUCUUGACGUAACCCAUAGAAGAAGCACCGGCUAACUCUGUGCC
rnacentral:rRNA from 1 species